rnacentral:tRNA from 1 species
GGCGCUAUAGUGUAGUGGUUAUCACUUGGGAUUCUGACUAUGCGAGUUCCCAAAACCCAGGUUCGAGCCCUGGUAGCGCCU